CCUCACGCUGGCGGCAUGCCUAACACAUGCAAGUCGAACGAGACCUUCGGGUCUAGUGGCGCACGGGUGCGUAACGCGUGGGAACCUGCCCUUAGGUUCGGAAUAACUCCCCGAAAGGGGUGCUAAUACCGGAUAAUGUCUUCGGACCAAAGAUUUAUCGCCUUUGGAUGGGCCCGCGUUGGAUUAGCUAGUUGGUAGGGUAAAAGCCUACCAAGGCGACGAUCCAUAGCUGGUCUGAGAGGAUGAUCAGCCACACUGGGACUGAGACACGGCCCAGACUCCUCCGGAAGGAGGAAGGGGGGAAUAUUGGAAAAUGGCCGAAGGCCUAAUCCGGCAAUGCCGGGGAAGGAAUGAGGGCUUUAGGUUUGUAAAGCUCUUUACCCGGGAUGAUAAUGACAGUACCGGGAGAAUAAGCUCCGGCUAACUCCGUG
rnacentral:rRNA from 1 species